rnacentral:rRNA from 1 species
AUGGCGGCUGUGUACUCCCAGUCCCAGGGCAACGCCGUCGACAUGGCCGACAUACAAGACCUCACCAACAUAAGCCACAUGCUGCUGUCCCUGCUUCCGUUUGCUUCGCCGCCGGAGGUAGCGCAGCUGGCGUUUGCGCUGUGGGUGCUGGGCUCCACCACCCUUGUCCUGGCCCUGACCAUCCUCUUCCACCUGCCGCCCGCGGGACCCGUCUUUGGCCGCUUUGCUGCAGCCUACUACGCCAUUCUCGGGGUCGUCCUCCUCGUCGCCGUGCCGGUGGAGCUGGGGACCGCGCUCUGCCUGCGCGUGCGGCGCCACAGCCUCCUCAUAGCCUUCGCCUCGUACCUCCUGCCCUGCGCUCACGUGCUCCUCCUCCUCGUCGUCUCGGAAUGCUAUUCUUGGAAGUUAUGUCUCGUAGCAGUUCUUCAAGGAAAUGAAGCCAAUGGUUAUUAUGUCUUUGGCAUGCAACCGCCUUCUUCUGCAGAUGUCUCAGAGAAUGUGCAGAGCAAGACGUGCUCUGUUUUUUUUUUGAAAGGUCUGCUCUGCAUUUUCGCUCAGCGCGGCCACAAUUUCUACAUGGUCAGCAUCGACAUCUUGCCGAAGCAGCACUCAACGUGUCAGGUCGGCUUCCUGCAGUACGGCUUCUCCCACACAGUGGUGCAGAUCCUGAACUCGCUCGACGUCCUCAACAAUGAGGAGCUCAAGGAGUACUCCAGCUGGCCAACCUUCCGGCAGUACUACACUGACGGUGAGUUCUUCUGCGGGGCGACAUCACGGUAG